UGUGUGUUAGUGGAAGCGUCUGGAAAGGCGCGCGAUACAGGGUGACAGCCCCGUACACAAAAAUGCACAUGCUGUGAGCUCGAUGAGUAGGGCGGGACACGUGGUAUCCUGUCUGAAUAUGGGGGGACCAUCCUCCAAGGCUAAAUACUCCUGACUGACCGAUAGUGAACCAGUACCGUGAGGGAAAGGCGAAAAGAACCCCGGCGAGGGGAGUGAAAAAGAACCUGAAACCGUGUACGUACAAGCAGUGGGAGCCUCUUUUAUGGGGUGACUGCGUACCUUUUGUAUAAUGGGUCAGCGACUUAUAUUCUGUAGCAAGGUUAACCGAAUAGGGGAGCCGAAGGGAAACCGAGUCUUAACUGGGCGUUAAGUUGCAGGGUAUAGACCCGAAACCCGGUGAUCUAGCCAUGGGCAGGUUGAAGGUUGGGUAACACUAACUGGAGGACCGAACCGACUAAUGUUGAAAAAUUAGCGGAUGACUUGUGGCUGGGGGUGAAAGGCCAAUCAAACCGGGAGAUAGCUGGUUCUCCCCGAAAGCUAUUUAGGU
rnacentral:rRNA from 1 species